rnacentral:rRNA from 1 species
CAGCAGCCGCGGUAAUACGUAGGUCACAAGCGUUGUCCGGAAUUACUGGGUGUAAAGGGAGCGCAGGCGGGAGAACAAGUUGGAAGUGAAAUCCAUGGGCUCAACCCAUGAACUGCUUUCAAAACUGUUUUUCUUGAGUAGUGCAGAGGUAGGCGGAAUUCCCGGUGUAGCGGUGGAAUGCGUAGAUAUCGGGAGGAACACCAGUGGCGAAGGCGGCCUACUGGGCACCAACUGACGCUGAGACUCGAAAGUGUGGGUAGCAAACAGGAUUAGAUACCCUGGUAGUCCACACCGUAAACGAUGAUUACUAGGUGUUGGAGGAUUGACCCCUUCAGUGCCGCAGUUAACACAAUAAGUAAUCCACCUGGGGAGU